UACGGGGGGGGCAAGGCGUUGUUCGGAAUUACUGGGCGUAAAGGGCUCGUAGGCGGCCAACUAAGUCCGACGUGAAAUCCCCAGGCUUAACCUGGGAACUGCGUCGGAUACUGGAUGGCUUGAAUCCGGGAGAGGGAUGCGGAAUUCCAGGUGUAGCGGUGAAAUGCGUAGAUAUCUGGAGGAACACCGGUGGCGAAGGCGGCAUCCUGGA
rnacentral:rRNA from 1 species